GAUGGAUAUAACGUCAGACGCUGCUGACAUGUGGGAUGUGCAGUGAAGCUGGGGAUCGCGGCUUCCUGCUCAAGCAGAUUUGCACAUCGCCACAGUAUCUGAGGGCCGGACAUCAUAACCGAUGGAUUUUAGGGUCUUCGUCUGUUCUUCCUGAAGGUUCACCACUUCUACUCUCAGUGUCCUUUGAGCGUGUGAGGGCCCGUUGAUAGUUCCAGGUCGAGAUAUUCCAGACUCAUCACAUCUUCCGACACAGUCCAAUGAAUGAUAUCAUAAAAUCUGCCAUUCACAAGAAUUGACGGAUUAUUGAUGAGGACCCUGCACUUACUGAGAAGGCUCAACACAAACCUGUGAUUUCUUUUGGUCGCUGCAAGAAUUUGAGAGAUUCACUAGUUCGA